UUCCGUAGGUGAACCUGCGGAAGGAUCAUUAUCAAUUUACAGCGGACUUCGGUCCUGUCUGAACCCUUGUCUUUUGCGUACUAUUUGUUUCCUUGGUGGGCUUGCCCGCCAAUAGGACCUUAUAAACCCUCUUGUAAUUGCAAUCAGCGUCAGAAAACUAUAAUAAUUACAACUUUCAACAACGGAUCUCUUGGUUCUGGCAUCGAUGAAGAACGCAGCGAAAUGCGAAAAGUAGUGUGAAUUGCAGAAUUCAGUGAAUCAUCGAAUCUUUGAACGCACAUUGCGCCCCUUGGUAUUCCAUGGGGCAUGCCUGUUCGAGCGUCAUUUGUACCCUCAAGCUCUGCUUGGUGUUGGGUGUUUGUCCCGUUUUACGCGUGGACUCGCCUUAAAGCAAUUGGCAGCCGGCAUACUGGCCUUGGAGCGCAGCACAAUUUGCGCUUCUUGCCCUGAAUGUCAGCGUCCAUCAAGUCUACAUUUUUACUCUUGACCUCGGAUCAGGUAGGGAUACCCGCUGAACUUAAGCAUAUCAAUAAGCGGAGGCGU
rnacentral:rRNA from 1 species